rnacentral:piRNA from 1 species
UGCCAACAUUGUCACUAUAGAAACUGAGGC